CGGGAAGAGCGAGCAUUAUUCAAAAUGAUUAGGCGUAAAGGGUUUGUAGGUUGUUUUAAGUUGAAAGAAAAUAAUAAAGCUCAACUUUAUCUCUUUUUCAAAACUAAAACUAAGAGUAUACAUAGAGGAUAAUAGAAUUUUUAUUGGAGGGAUAAAAUCUAUUGAUAAUAGAAGGAAUAUCAAAAGCGAAAGCAAUUAUCUGGGUAUAUACUGACACUGAGAACGAAGCUUGGGUAGCGAACGGGAUU
rnacentral:rRNA from 1 species